rnacentral:piRNA from 1 species
UGGAAAAACUUGAACAUCAUGUCGAAC